UACAGAGGGGGCAAGCGUUGUUCGGAAUCACUGGGCGUAAAGGGCGCGUAGGCGGCUUGAUAAGUAGGGGGUGAAAUCUUGCGGCUCAACUGCAAGGCUGCCUCCUAAACUGACAGGCUUGAGCACAGUAGAGGCAGGUGGAAUCCCGGUGUAGCGGUGGAAUGCGUAGAGAUCGGGAAGAACAUCGGUGGCGAAGGCGGCCUGCUG
rnacentral:rRNA from 1 species